rnacentral:rRNA from 1 species
AGUUUGAUCAUGGCUCAGAUUGAACGCUGGCGGUAGGCUUAACACAUGCAAGUCGUGCGAGAAAGUAUCUUCGGAUAUGAGUAGAGCGGCGGACGGGUGAGUAACGCGUAGGAAUCUACCUAGUAGAAGGGGAUAGCCCGGGGAAACUCGGAUUAAUACCGUAUACCUCCUUAGGGAGAAAGAGGGCCUCUCUUGAUGCUUUCGCUAUUAGACGAGCCUGCGUAAGAUUAGCUUGUUGGUGAGGUAAUGGCUCACCAAGGCUACGAUCUUUAGCUGGUCUGAGAGGACGAUCAGCCACAUUGGGACUGAGACACGGCCCAGACUCCUACGGGAGGCAGCAGUGGGGAAUAUUGGACAAUGGGCGCAAGCCUGAUCCAGCCAUACCGCGUGUGUGAAGAAGGCCUUCGGGUUGUAAAGCACUUUAAGCAGGGAGAAAAAGUUAUAAGUUAAUACCUUAUAACCGUGAUGUUACCUGCAGAAUAAGCACCGGCUAAUUCCGUGCCAGCAGCCGCGGUAAUACGGAAGGUGCAAGCGUUAAUCGGAAUUACUGGGCGUAAAGCGCGCGUAGGUGGUUUGUUAAGUUGGAUGUGAAAGCCCUGGGCUCAACCUAGGAACUGCAUCCAAAACUAACUCACUAGAGUACGAUAGAGGGAGGUAGAAUUCAUAGUGUAGCGGUGGAAUGCGUAGAUAUUAUGAAGAAUACCAGUGGCGAAGGCGGCCUCCUGGAUCUGUACUGACACUGAGGUGCGAAAGCGUGGGUAGCGAACAGGAUUAGAUACCCUGGUAGUCCACGCCGUAAACGAUGACAACUAGCUGUUGGGAAA